GUCUAGUAUAGCCUAGUAUAUAUUUUGUGUCAUAUUUAUUAUGACACAGAAUGGGAGUUCUGUGCAGGGGAUAUGUUCAUGUUAACGGAACGUCCGCACUAAGCUUGCUAUCAACAUGGACGCCAAAGAGGAGUCUUCGGCGUUCAGGUUGCUAAGGAGUGAUAUAACGGGCCAGGGGUGAAAACCAGCAGCCAAGCGUUUCCGUCGUAUGCAGUAGUGCGAUAGCGUACCGGAGUGAAACACCGUUGUCAGCCCGGUUAAUAUGGUUAGACCAAUUUU
rnacentral:SRP_RNA from 12 species